CAGCCGCCACGGUAAUACGUAGGGGGCGAGCGUUGUCCGAAGUUACUGGGCGUAAAGAGCGCGUAGGCUGGUCUUUAAGUGAGUGGUGAAAGGUUCGGGCUCAACCCGGACACUGCCUUUCAUACUGGGGACCUUGAGUGUGAGAGAGGCGAGUGGAAUGGUCGGUGUAGCGGUGAAAUGCGUAGAUAUCGGAAGGAACACCUGUGGCGAAAGCGGCUCACUGGACCAUUUCUGACGCUGAUGCACGAAAGCUAGGGGAGCAAACAGGAUUAGAUACCCCGGUAGUCCCUGUCUCUUAUAA
rnacentral:rRNA from 1 species